CUAUGCGCCUUGCCAGCCCGCUCAGUCAGAGUUUGAUCCUGGCUCAGGGUGAACGUUGGCGGUGCGUCUAAUACAUGCAAGUCGAGUGGGUUCAGACCCACGGCGGACGGCUGAGUAACACGUUGGUAACUACCUCAAACUCAGGGAUAACCAUGAGAAAUCAUGGCUAAUACCGGAUGGUCUCGUAAGAGUAAAGCUUUUGCGGUUUGAGAGGUGCCUGCGGCCUAUCAGUUUGUUGGUGAGUAACGCUCACCAAGACUAUGACGGGUAACUGGUCUGAGAGGACGACCAGUCAGAGGGAAACUGAGACACGGUUCCC
rnacentral:rRNA from 1 species